rnacentral:rRNA from 1 species
UACGAAGGGGGCUAGCGUUGCUCGGAAUUACUGGGCGUAAAGCGCACGUAGGCGGGUUGUUAAGUUGGGGGUGAAAUCCUGGAGCUCAGCUCCAGAACUGCCUCCAAAACUGGCGAUCUUGAGUUCGGGAGAGGUGAGUGGAACUGCGAGUGUAGAGGUGAAGUUCGUAGAUAUUCGGAAGAACACCAGUGGCGAAGGCGACACACUGGCCCGAUACUGACGCUGAGGCGCGAAAGCGUGGGGAGCAAACAGG